rnacentral:lncRNA from 1 species
UCUCUGUUCUUCAAAAACGUGGUGGGCAACACCGGGUCUGAAAAUUUACAUGGGGAAUUUGGUUGUUAUGGUCCAAUACUAGAUGUUUAUAUUCUAUUUGAUUUCAACAGUCAACAUCCAAAAGGAUUUGUAUAUGUUCAAUUUGAGGAUGUUUGUAAUGCUGAAAAUGCUUUAUAUAAUUUGAACAGAAAAUGGUGCUGUGGGAGUCCAAUUGAAAUACAGUUCACAGAGGGGAAACAGAACACACCAAAUCAAAUGAAAGCCAAGGAAAGGAGGAAUGCAUACAAUUCUUUCUGAUAGGAUGAUUUUGACCUAUAUAGAUGUUCUUGAAGCCGAAAUUAUGAAAGGAGGAGAUCAAGGAGUGGUUCCUUUUGUUAUAACUAUAGGAGA